ACCAAUCGAGCCAAGGAACUGGCUCCGCUCCUCGCACCCACCCAGGCCGCCGCAAAUCCAGCAACCCCCCACCCCCCACCCCAUAUGCCCCGCCAUGACAGCCCUCGACCUACGCCGCCGGCACGACAGUGGCAGCAUCCCCCUGCCGCUCCUCCUCACCGGCCGGAUUUCACGCAUCCCCUGAUUCGGAUCCCCUUUCUUUCCUUUCAGAUGAAGAGAAGACCAUUGGAGAUACUUCCACAGCUGCCCCUCCUAUCUCCCUCGAUGAUGAGUUUCCGAAGGCCACAGCUAUGGGACCUUAUGCAAGUUCAGGCUGGUCAGACCUCCCCAUCGACCUCCUGAUCCGGAUAGUGCAUCUCCUUGAGCUCCCGGAGGCCCUUGCCUUCCGCGCUGUCUGCCCGUCUUGGUGUUCUGCAUCUGCGGCCGCAGGCGCUGCCCCACCUCGCCGCACGCCGUGGCUCAUGUCCUUGGCGGACGAUCCUCUUUCGGUAGGGGAUCAGCAUCGGCGUGUACGUCGUGGGUUAUGGGAUCCUGCUGCUACUACUGAGCUCCGCAACCUACUGGAUCCUGAUAGAACUUUUCAGGUCAGCUUUCCCAGGGGGCAGGCUGUGGCCUGCUGCGGCGCCUCCCAUGGCUGGUUAAUCAUGGCAAAUGAGCUCUCGGAUCUCGUCCUAUAUAACCCCUUCACCGCGGCGUUGAUCCCGCUCCCCCCAAUCACCGGUUUUUCGUCGUGCAUCGAGGGGGUCUACGGAGACGAAGGGAAGAUCGUGGGCUAUCGUUACGGGUGUUACAUGACGGAACAUGUUCAUGGUGUGCAGUCUCCCGGCAGGUGUUUCUACGACAAGGUUGUGCUGUCCGGUCCUCCGUCCACUUGUCGUGCCGUCACUCUGGUCAUCCACCUGGACGGCAAGAGGCUAUCUUUUGCAAGGAUAGGAGACAGCCAUUGGCAACAAGUUUCAGUGAUCCAAAGAAGCGGGGAUAGUAUCUACCACCGCGGAAGGUUCUAUGCGGUGACAAUGGAAGGGAUAUUGAAGUCAUGGGACUUUGGUGGACUAGACAAACCGAGGAAGAAGACGGUCAUUGCCGGGGACGAACGACAUGUUCGACGACCCUGUUAUCACUAGGUACUUGCUUUCGACACCUUGGGGUCAUCUCCUGCAGGUGCGUGUCUUUCUUGACACGCUCCGUGGAAACAACGUCAGGAUUGAAAUAGACAGGUUGGACCUCAAGAGUCAGACAAGGGUAGCACUGAGCUCAGGGAAGGCCCUAUGGGGACAUGCGGCAUUCGUCGGGAAGAAUAGCCCAGGCAUUUUAUCAACCAAAGAAUUCCCUGACCUAAAACCAGAUUGUAUAUAUUUCACAACUCCCCGCCUCAGAAAGCGCCGCCCUUUUGAGAAUCGCCAUAACCAAUGGAGUGGCGUUAAGGUCUAUGACCUGAAAAAACGGACGCUUGAGGCCGCUUUUCCGUCAGGUGGAGGUCAUUAUGGGACCAUCUGUCCAUUGGAAGUCUGGUUCACGCCCAGUCUAGUCUUAUAGCCAUGCUGCAACUUGGUGGAAAUCUGCCUUGAGUUGAUGGGAAUCCCCUUCUUUCCGAAAUGAUGCAGAUAGAACCACGAUCUGAAUAUUCCAUGGUGAGUGCACGGGCACGGAAGGAAGGUACGGUGGACCAUAGCCAUCCUGCACCGCUGCCACCGAGUGUGUCGCUCCUUGAUCCACUUCAGUGCUCCAAAGCUACAACCUGCCUACGAGGUUUGGUCUUGGAUAGUAGUUCACAUAUGAUGCUGCAGAGUCCUUCAGGGAAGAAACAGAGUACUAUCGUAUCUGUUGGCUGCUUCCGCUUAGCUUCAGAUGGAACAUAUCAGCCAGGGACAUACAGGGUGGGUUGCGGGCAUAACGCCAACACUCUUGGUUGAAGGUAGAUGAGGCUGUAGUGAUUUGUUUCCAGAAAGAUGAGGAGUCUCCGUCAAUGAAGCUAUGGUUUACCAUCAUAGCCUAGUCUUGGUUAUAUGGUAAGGAUUUGAAAGCAAAUGGUUAGAAAUGCCUCUCUAAAACUGCUGAACUAUAUCCCAAAAGGUCUUUUGUAUGGCAUAACAACAACAACAACAACAAAGCCUUUAGUUCCAAACAAGUUGGGGUAGGCUAAAAGGUCUUUUGUAUGGCAUACCCAUUAUCUAAAUCUGGGCACUGUGUAGUGGUCUUUAGUCGCAAAACUUUAAAUCUUUGUCGUGUGCGGCUGACCCGGUAUCUAAAUUUGGGCACUGAGCCGUAGUGUUUGAAUCCUUGAACCUUCCAUAAUUUUGUAAUGUGCUCUAUGUUGCAAACAUCCGAGAAUACUGACAUGAAAAAUAAAUGCUCCUGCUUGUGAUGUUUC